UAGGGAAUCUUCCACAAUGGACGAAAGUCUGAUGGAACAACGCCGCGUGAGUGAAGAAGGGUUUCGGCUCGUAAAACUCUGUUGUUAAAGAAGAACAUAUCUGAGAGUAACUGUUCAGGUAUUGACGGUAUUUAACCAGAAANCCACGGCUAAACUACGUGCCAG
rnacentral:rRNA from 1 species